rnacentral:misc_RNA from 1 species
UUAACUAUUGUAUAGUACUCAGACGACACUAACAUUCAGAGUUUAUAGGGCCUUCGGCGGGCCGGCGGCCCGCCAAAGCAACACGGUAGCAAUCACAGUGGGUGGGAGAUCUACCCGCGAGGGCGAGAACUCUGUAAUGAUCCCUCCGCAGGUUCACCUACGGAGA